rnacentral:tRNA from 1 species
UAGCUCAGUGGUAGAGUGCUUGCCUUGCAUGCAUGAGACCCUGGGUUCAAUUCCUCAG